rnacentral:misc_RNA from 1 species
CGUUGGAUCACCCGCACACUGCUGAGUUGCUUUCUUCCUUCAGAAGGUUUUGUCUUUGCCUUCUGUGACUUCUUUCGCUCACUAUUAAUUUCAGCCACCAAUCUUUCACAGCUAGCAGCCAUCCCUACUAUCUUCUCCUUAUCAUAAGGAACCCGACAUGCUGGGCACCGCCCCUCUGUAUCAUCCUUCUCUGCCAUGUCCAUGAUGUGAUGCCAACACCAAACGCAUAUCUCGUAACCACAUUUGCAAGGCUUCAAUUGCUGAUCAGUCAAGUCCAUCUCCUCUGCGCAAAGUGGGCAGGUCUUUUCUCCUUCGUCGCUCAUGGUUGCCAGUUUCGGGAUCGAGAUGAGAGAGAGAGAGAGAGAAUCUGUGACGAUGAGGUAGAGAAAUGAAUAAACGCAAGGCAGAGAGAGAGAGAGAGAGAGAGAG